rnacentral:rRNA from 1 species
GGGGUGUGACUGCGUACCUUUUGUAUAAUGGGUCAGCGACUUAUAUUCUGUAGCAAGGUUAACCGUAUAGGGGAGCCGAAGGGAAACCGAGUCUUAACCGGGCGUUAAGUUGCAGGGUAUAGACCCGAAACCCGGUGAUCUAGCCAUGGGCAGGUUGAAGGUUGGGUAACACUAACUGGAGGACCGAACCGACUAAUGUUGAAAAAUUAGCGGAUGACCUGUGGCUGGGGGUGAAAGGCCAAUCAAACCGGGAGAUAGCUGGUUCUCCCCGAAAGCUAUUUAGGUAGCGCCUCGUGAAUUCAUCUCCGGGGGUAGAGCACUGUUUCGGCUAGGGGGCCAUCCCGGCUUACCAACCCGAUGCAAACUGCGAAUACCGGAGAAUGUUAUCACGGGAGACACACGGCGGGUGCUAACGUCCGUCGUGAAGAGGGAAACAACCCAGACCGCCAGCUAAGGUCCCAAAGUCAUGGUUAAGUGGGAAACGAUGUGGGAAGGCCCAGACAGCCAGGAUGUUGGCUUAGAAGCAGCCAUCAUUUAAAGAAAGCGUAAUAGCUCACUGGUCGAGUCGGCCUGCGCGGAAGAUGUAACGGGGCUAAACCAUGCACCGAAGCUGCGGCAGCGA